AAGUUUGGACGAUGGGGGCAACCCUGAUCCAGCCAUCCCGCGUGUGUGAUGAAGGCCUUCGGGUUGUAAAGCACUUUCGGCAGUGAAGAAAAGGCUCUGGUUAAUACCUGGAGCUGCGGACGGUACCUGCAGAAUAAGCACCGGCUAACUACGUGCCAGCAGCCGCGGUAAUACGUAGGUUGCAAGCGUUAAUCGGAAUUACUGGGCGUAAAGCGUGCGCAGGCGGUUCGGCAAGAAGGAUGUGAAGUCCCAGGGCUUAACCUUGGAACUACAUUCUUAACUGCCGGGCUAGAGUAAGUCAGAGGGGGGUAGAAUUCCGCGUGUAGCAGUGAAAUGCGUAGAGAUGCGGAGGAAUACCGAUGGCGAAGGCAGCCCCCUGGGAUAAUACUGACGCUCAUGCACGAAAGCGCGGGGAGCAAACAGG
rnacentral:rRNA from 1 species